rnacentral:rRNA from 1 species
CAGUAGCCACGGUAAUACGAAGGGUGCAAGCGUUACUCGGAAUUACUGGGCGUAAAGCGUGCGUAGGUGGUGGUUUAAGUCCGUUGUGAAAGCCCUGGGCUCAACCUGGGAAUGGCAGUGGAUACUGGCUCGCUAGAGUGUGUCAGAGGAUGGUGGAAUUCCCGGUGUAGCGGUGAAAUGCGUAGAGAUCGGGAGGAACAUCAGUGGCGAAGGCGGCCAUCUGGGACAACACUGACGCUGAGGCACGAAAGCGUGGGGAGCAAACAGGAUUAGAUACCCCUGUAGUCCCUGUCUCUUAUAC